GGAUGAAGAACGUAGCGAAAUGCGAUAAGUAAUGUGAAUUGCAGAAUUCAGUGAAUCAUCGAAUCUUUGAACGCACAUUGCGCCCCCUGGUAUUCCGGGGGGCAUGCCUGUUCGAGCGUCAUUUCACCACUCAAGCCUCGCUUGGUAUUGGGCGACGCGGUCCGCCGCGCGCCUCAAAUCGACCGGCUGGGUCUUUCGUCCCCUCAGCGUUGUGGAAACUAUUCGCUAAAGGGUGCCGCGGGAGGCCACGCCGUAAAACAACCCCAUUUCUAAGGUUGACCUCGGAUCAGGUAGGGAUACCCGCUGAACUUAAGCAUAUCAAUAAGCGGAGGA
rnacentral:misc_RNA from 1 species